AAGAGUACGUGAAACCGCUCAGGGGUAAACGGAAAAGACCCGAAAUUUCCGAAGAGGGAGAUUCACGUCUUCUCGCGGUGCUUAGGCGUCUGUCCCUUUUGGACGGUUCUGCUCCCGUUCGCUUUGCGUGCGGUGGGUGGGAUCGCAAAGGGCGGCGUUGAGGCCCGCGGCGGACCGCACUUCUCCCUUAGUAGGACGUCGUGACCCGUCCGGCUAUGGUCUUACAGUCACGAGGUGGAGCCUGUUCUCGAGUGCCAUUGGUUCUCUUGAGCAGACCCUCGUGUCUCGGCCAUGGAUAUUAACUUACCGGUCGGUAUCAAAUGACAGCGUUCGGCCGCUUUUCGGGGGAGGAAACUCCUUCCGGCGAGCGCGGUUCGAUCCGGUUGGCAAGGUGCUGGGAUGUUCAGUCAGAGCGGGCUUACGUCCGCCCGGCUGCUCCCUGCCCUGUUGGCUCUGGAUCCUCCCGUUUGGCCUAUUUGCGCUCGUCUACGGCGAACCAGUUUUGGGCUCUUGUCCGACCCGUCUUGAAACACGGACCAAGGAGUUCAGCGUGCACGCGAGUCAUUGGGUGAUGAAACCUAAAGGCGAAAUGAAAGUGAAGGGAACCUUCGUUUCUGAGGGAGGAUGAGACGGUUUCCCGCAAGGGGCUUCUCCGCACUCCCGGGGCGUCUCUUUCUCAUUGCGAGUGGAGGCGCACCCAGAGCGUACACGCUGAUACCCGAAAGAUGGUGAACUAUGCCUGGCCAGGACGAAGCCAGGGGAAACCCUGGUGGAGGUCCGCAGCGAUUCUGACGUGCAAAUCGAUCGUCGGAGCUGGGUAUAGGGGCGAAAGACCAAUCGAACCAUCUAGUAGCUGGUUCCCUCCGAAGUUUCCCUCAGGAUAGCUUGCGCUCAUGGGAACGAGUCUCAUCCGGUAGAGCGAAUGAUUAGAGGCCUUGGGGUCGAAACGACCUCAACCUAUUCUCAAACUCCAAAUAGAUGAGAACUCCGGCUUCCUUGAAAAAUGAAGCCGGGGGCUUGGAUCAGAGUGCCAA
rnacentral:rRNA from 1 species